UACAGAGGUCCCAAGCGUUGUUCGGAUUCAUUGGGCGUAAAGGGCUCGUAGGCGGCCAACUAAGUCAGACGUGAAAUCCCUCGGCUUAACCGGGGAACUGCGUCCGAUACUGGCAGGCUUGAAUCCGGGAGAGGGAUGCGGAAUUCCAGGUGUAGCGGUGAAAUGCGUAGAUAUCUGGAGGAACACCGGUGGCGAAGGCGGCAUCCUGGACCGGCAUUGACGCUGAGGCGCGAAAGCGUGGGGAGCAAACAGG
rnacentral:rRNA from 1 species